GACGAACGCUGGCGGCGUGCUUAACACAUGCAAGUCGAACGGAAAGGCCCUGCUUGCAGGGUGCUCGAGUGGCGAACGGGUGAGUAACACGUGGGUGAUCUGCCCCUUACUUUGGGAUAAGCCUGGGAAACUGGGUCUAAUACUGGAUAGGACCAUGCUGUAGGUGGUGUGGUGGAAAGAUUAGUUUCGGUAAGGGAUGAGCUCGCGGCCUAUCAGCUUGUUGGUGGGGUAAUGGCCUACCAAGGCGUCGACGGGUAGCCGGCCUGAGAGGGUGGACGGCCACAUUGGGACUGAGAUACGGGCCAGACUCCUACGGGAGGUAGCAGUGGGGAAUAUUGCACAAUGGGCGCAAGCCUGAUGCAGCGACGCCGCGUGGGGGAUGACGGCCUUCGGGUUGUAAACUCCUUUCAGCCAUGACGAAGCCUUCGGGUGACGGUAGUGGUAGAAGAAGCACCGGCUAACUACGUG
rnacentral:rRNA from 1 species